GUUUUUUAAUUUAGAAAACUAUACAUGAAUAAAAUAACAAAAAACAAUAAAUGUGAGAACCUAAACAGCCUAUUUGGUGACAAUAAACACAAAGACAGGAACAAUCACCCACGAAACACUCAAAGAAUAUGGCUGCCUAAAUAUGGUUCCCAAUCAGAGACAACGAUAAACACCUGCCUCUGAUUGAGAACCAUUCCAGACAGCCAUAGACUAUGCUAGAUACCCCUACUAUAAUACAAACCCAAUACCUAAAAAAAAAAAACAAGACAAAACACACCACAUACAAAACCCAUGUCACACCCUGGCCUGACCAAAUUAAUAAAGAAAACACAAAAUACUAAGACCAUGGCGUGACAAACCUAAAUGACAGAGUGAAAAGAAGGAAGACUUUACAGAAUAAAAACAUUCCAAAAGAUGCAUUCUUUAUGCAAUAAGGCACUAAAGUAAAACUGCAAGAAAUGUGGCAAAGAAAUUAACUUUAUGUCCUAAAUACAAAGCAUUAUGUUUGGGGAAAAUCCAACACAUCACUGAAUACCAAUCUUCAUAUUUUCAAGCAUGGUUGUGGCUGCAUCAUGUUAUGGGUAUGCUUGUCAUUGGCAAGGUCUAGGGAGUUUUUUUGGAUUUUUUUUUAUUUUUUUAAAUAGGGCUAGGCACAGGCUAAAUCUGGACUAUAACCUAAUACACAAGGUCAUAUAUACACUGAGUAUACAAAACAUUAGGAACACCUUCCUACUAUUGAUUUGCACCCCUUUUACCUUCAUAACAGUGUCAAUUCGUCAGGACAUGGACUCUACGUAGUGUUGAAAGCAUUCCACAUGGAUGCUGGCUCCAAUGCUUCCCACAGUUGUGUCAAGUUGGCUGGAUGUCCUUUGGGUGGUGGCCCAUUCUUGAUACACACUGAAAAAUGUUGAGCGUGAAAUACCCAGCAGUGUUGCAGUUCUUGACACACUCAAACUAGUGCGCCUGGCACAUACUACUAUAUCCCGUUCAAAGGGGCUUAAAUAUAUUGUCUUGCGCAUUCACCCUCUGAAUGGCACACAUACACCAUCCAUGUCUCAAUUGUCUCAAGGCUUAAAACUCCUUCUUU
ensembl:lncRNA